UCUUGGUCAUUUAGAGGAAGUAAAAGUCGUAACAAGGUUUCCGUAGGUGAACCUGCGGAAGGAUCAUUACAGAAAGUAAACGCGGAUCAAACCGCGAACUUUUAAACCUUUGACGAUUGACUCAUGUUGCCUCGGCGGGUUCUUCUCGCCAGAGGAUACAUCAAAACUCCUGUUUUAACGGUGUUGUCUGAGCUACAAGCAACGAAUCAAAACUUUCAACAACGGAUCUCUUGGUUCUGGCAUCGAUGAAGAACGCAGCGAAAUGCGAUAAGUAGUGUGAAUUGCAGAAUUCAGUGAAUCAUCGAAUCUUUGAACGCACAUUGCGCCCCUUGGUAUCCCGAGGGGCAUGCCUGUUCGAGCGUCAUUUCACCACUCAAGCCUGGCUUGGUGUUGGGCGACGUCCCCUUUAGGGACGCGCUUCGAAACGCUCGGCGGCGUGGCACCGGCUUUAAGCGUAGCAGAAUCUUUCGCUUUGAAAGUCGGAGCCCCGUCUGCCGGAAGACCUACUCGCAAGGUUGACCUCGGAUCAGGCAGGGAUACCCGCUGAACUUAAGCAUAUCAAUA
rnacentral:misc_RNA from 1 species